UACGUAAGGGCCGAGCGUUAUCCGGAUUUACUGGGCGUAAAGCGCACGUAGGUGGUUUAUUAAGUUGGGCGUUAAAUCCAUUGGCUUAACCAAUGUACGCGCUCAAUACUGGUAAUCUAGAGUGUAGGAGAGGGAAGUGGAACUCACAGUGUAGCGGUGAAAUGCGUAGAUAUUGUGAGGAACACCAGUGGCGAAGGCGACUUCCUAGACUACUACUGACGCUGAGGUGCGAAAGCGUGGGGAGCAAACAGG
rnacentral:rRNA from 1 species